CUUUCAGCAGGUGAGGGGUCAGCGUGGGAAGCUUUCAUCCCGAGCUGCUCCUGCAGAGCCUCCCUGGGCACUGCCUCUGCCAGCAGCACCUUCAGGGGGUGCUGGAGCUGCACAGGCUGGUGAAGCCAAGCCCAAGAGAGCCAGAAAAUCUCCGGGAACAGCUGAGCCCCACCAUGGGAGAGCAGGGGCAGGAGGAGCAGCCAUCGGGACAUCUUCAAAUAUCACCCGUGCAAAAUCCAACCCCUCCAAGCAAUCACACCGUGCCUGUUCAAAUGGUGCCUUGGAGGACAGGAAAAUAAACUGACAAAUGCAAAUUGGGGAUGUAAAUCUUGCAGGCUGUGUCUGGGAGGUACCUGUUUAAUUAGCAUCACUGAGCAGCCUUGAUGUGAGUUGCUGUGCUGCCUGUAGCAUGAGGAAUCGGCUCUCGUGUCCUGGGCAUUUGGCACUGAAUUUAUUCGUGUGAUAAAUAAGAAUAUCCCUGCUGGGGUGUGGGCUGGGGAGCUCCUGAGCCUUUGUUUCUCCCUCACCCCCGCCCUUCCCAGGUGCUAAUUGGUACCACAUGAAUAUUUUCAACGCUGAUAAAAAUAUCUGUGAGGGGUUGGAUGCUGGGUCUGGGAAUUUCAGGUGAGGCUUCCCCGGGGUGCUGUGCAGUGCCUGGCCAGGUUUGCACCCCUCUGGCAGGCUCUGUGACCCCUCUCCUGACCUGUCACCGUGGGAGAUGCUGGCAUUAGCAUGAUGGAGUGCUCAGGGAGGAUCAACUUAUUGUUGUGCUACACCCAAACAAUGCCUUUCACUUCCCUCCUUUCUCUUUUUCCUGUCGGUUCCCCAUUCAAGCUUAACAAGAUCAGUGCAGAUAAUUUGUGUAUUCGUGCAGAACAUCC